UCAAAGAUGUCACUUAACAAAUAACAACCUGUGGAAUAAAAUGUUUCAAAAUGUCUAAAAUGCCAAAAUUGAAAAUUGUUUUGUUGAUACUGAAUAGAUAGCCAUUCCAAGUCUCACGUAAUAUACUAAUAAAGGAUACCAAACCGAUGACUAAUGGAGGUCGGAAUCCUGAUCUAUUUGAGGAUUUGACUAUUUGAGGAGAUGUGUGCCAACAGUCAUUGACGACGCACCUCAAUCACGAAGUGAAGAAACUGAUUCAAGUUGAAGGAAGGAGUAGGGGAUGAAAAUGCCCAAAAUGGCAGAAGUAGAUUUCAUGUCUUCUCCAGUGGUGAUUUCCUCGCUGGUUAUAAUAUUGUUAACGACAAGACAAGGAUGGACACCAGUUAAUUUUAACUCCUCAAGAAGUCAUGUGUAGAAGAAAAACAGAAAAAAAUUUAACUCCUCAAGAAGUCAUGUGUAGAAGAAAAACAGAAAAACAUUUGUGGGAAUGAAAAAUGCCAUGACAUUAGGCUAGGUUUUCCACAUUCACAUGCCAUGUCAUGCAAUUAAAGAAAAAUGUGAGAAAAAGUUUGAUGAUCUACGGAAGAAGCCAAAUCAAAGGAGUGAGUAAAGGCUUGCCAAAGAAAUCAGAAAAAAUAAUAAUGUCCAAUAGCUGGGCAAGCUUAUGUGGCUUUGAAAAAAAAAAGACGUGACAUGUGACUUUGAAUAGGGUGGUGUGAAAGCAAAAGAAAAAUUUAACUCUCAGAUGCUGGCCUUACCAUUUACAUCAGACUUCUUUCACGGGGAUUUCGCAAUUAUUCCUCGUAGUACGAAUACAAGAUUCGACUAGAAAAUUUUCACACAAGCUGAAUUUAAAGGAUUGAACACGAUGUCAAUGCCCAUCAGAGAGCCGCCAUUCUCAAAAAGUUGAUACCAAGCCAUACAAACCAUACGAGCGUGCGUAAGGUAGAAAACGUCACUAGCUGGAGAAAAAUCUUCGACGGCAGUUCACCCUAAAAAAGAAGCAAAAUUAUUCGUCACCGAGAAAAUUGUAUCUGGAAGAUUCUACAUGGUCAAAAGCCAUAUUCUCGUCUUCCCCUGGUUGAUGGAAAUUUUGAUCAUAUUCACAAUUUACUCAAAUUUACGGUGGACUUAAUGAAAAAGCUCCCAUUCUCCUCUAAUGAUUGGAGCUCUGGAUUGGAGAUCAAGUGCAAUUUUUUUGCUUGCUAUGCCCAAAAUAGUCACGAAAUUAACCCAUGUUGUGAAUUAUUAGUAACAGAUAUCGUUAUUUCAGAGGAGAGCCUACCUCCUGCAGUACUAGGUGAACCAGCCAACUUAAAAAAUCCUUCAAUCUUGUAAAUGUUACGUAGCUUCGUGUCAUCUUCGCUGUCUGAAAGUAGUAAGUUUACAAACGCAUUAUUUCUUAAACAUUUUGAUUCGUUUUCAUUUGAAUUAUAUUCCCCGUACAUUUUAUGAGUGUUAAAGUUGAGUUUUUUCUGGAUAAUACUUUUUAUGUUUUUUCUGUCCAACUUAUACCCUUCACCUUCAUGGGCUUCACAGAUAGCGUCCAACAGAUUGCUGCAUGAAUAAUCAUUCCAGCCCACCCUUCCGUUUCUGGAUAAGUUUAUGAUUAUGCAAUCUUCAGGGUCUCCUGAGUUUACUCGGUUCGGCGUCGGCCCAGUUAGCGUAUCAUGGAUACAGAUUUGAUCCCGUAGUCUCCCAAACCCACUUACCCUCAAUUAGUUCAUCAGAACCCGAGGUCCAAAAUGCAUCUUUGAAAUAAAUCGUAUGAACGUCAAUUUAAACGGAAGCGAGUGGCUCUUACUAUUUCGAAAAAUAUACAAUUUAACAGGUUUACACGAAACCGCCUGUACAAAUUCUUUAUUGGCCU